UACAGAGGCCCCGAGCAUUAUCCGGAAUCACUGGGCGUAAAGGGUGUGUAGGCGGUCGUAUUAGUCUUUCGUGAAAGCUUCUUGGCUUAACCAAGAAAACGCGGGAGAAACGGUACGACUUAGAGGUUGCGAGAGGUAUAUGGAACUCAUGGUGUAGGGGUGAAAUCCGUUGAUAUCAUGGGGAACACCAAAAGCGAAGGCAAUAUACUGGCGCAUACCUGACGCUGAGACACGAAAGCGUGGGAAUCGAACGGG
rnacentral:rRNA from 1 species